rnacentral:tRNA from 1 species
CCUGGUGGCUCAGAGGGUAAAGCGUCUGCCUGCAAUGCAGGAGACCUAGGUUUGAUCCCUGGGUCAGGA